rnacentral:rRNA from 1 species
UACGUAGGGGGCAAGCGUUGUCCGGAAUCAUUGGGCGUAAAGCGCGUGUAGGCGGCCCGGUAAGUCCGCUGUGAAAGUCGGGGGCUCAACCCUCGGAUGCCGGUGGAUACUGUCGGGCUAGAGUGCGGGAGAGGCGAGUGGAAUUCCUGGUGUAGCGGUGAAAUGCGCAGAUAUCAGGAGGAACACCAAUUGCGAAGGCAGCUCGCUGGAACGUAACUGACGCUGAGACGCGAAAGCGUGGGGAGCAAACAGG